CAGGCAUUCAUCGCCCAGUAUCCAUGUGUGACGGAAAUGUGAUGACGCAGGAGUCACAUGCCGUACAUGGGUGGCUCCCACGUGAGUACAGGUUGCUGAAACGUGGCUCCCACAUACUCAGUCAUGGCUGCCACGUGGCUCACGCAUGGCUCAGCUGUGUUUCACGGGUGGCUCCCGUGUGAUUCAUGCUUAUUUCAAGCAUGGAACAUGUGUGUUUCACAAGUUGCUCAGAUGGGGUUCAAGGGUGUCUCCCAUGUGGUUCCUGCAUGGCUCACACAUGGUUCGGGUGUAAUUCAGGCGUGGAUCUCACACGACUCGUCUGGGUCACUUAUGGUUGAGGACACUCUCACACGUGGUUCAGGCAUAGCUCAGCCAUGGCUCACAUGUGAGGCAUUCAUGCCACAGAACUAGCUCCUAUGUGGCUGUCACAUGAUACAGGCUUUGGUCACUCGUGCAUCACACAUGGUUCAGGUGUGGCUCAUGCAUGUCUGUGGUGUUGGUGACACGUGGCUCACAUGUGUUUUUUGCAUGGGUGACAUGUUACACCUGGUUCAGGCAUGGCAGGCAUGUUGUGCAAGUGAGGCUGACCUGUGGUUCAAGAGUGAGUGGCACUUGGUUCAGGCAUGGCUGGCAUGUGACUUGGUGCUGGUAAGUCUUGACACAGGUGUGGUUCUCACGUUGUUCAGGCGAGGCUGAUACAUGACUCAGGUGUGGUGUAAACGUGACACAGGUGUGCCUGACACGUCACUCAGGUGUAGUUCACACAUGGUUCAUGCAUGGCCAUCCUGUGGUUCAGGUGUUGCUGGUGCCUGGUGCACGCAUGUGUGGCAGGUGGCUCAGGCGUGGCUGAAAUGUGACUGCGGCAUGUGUGAAACAGGACUCCGGUGUGGCUGACACAUGUUUUAGGCAUCGCUGACACGUGACUCAGGCAUUCAUCGCCCAGUAUCCACGUGUGACGGAAAUGUGAUGACACAGGAGUCACAUGCCGUACAUGGGUGGCUCCCACGUGAGUACAGGUUGCUGAAACGUGGCUCCCACAUACUCAGUCAUGGCUGCCACAUGGCUCAUGCAUGGCUCAGCUGUGUUUCACGGGUGGCUCCCCUGUGGUUCAUGCUUAUUUCAAGCAUGGAACAUGUGUGUUUCACAAGUUGCUCAGAUGGGGUUCAAGGGUGUCUCCCAUGUGGUUCCUGCAUGGCUCACCCAUGGUUCAGGUGUAAUUCAGGUGCGGAUCUCACACGACUCGUCUGGGUCACAUAUGGUUGAGGACACUCUCACACGUGGUUCAGGCAUAGCUCAGCCAUGGCUCACACGUUUCACAGGCGUUCCACAGAACUGGCUCCCAUUUGGCUGACACAUGAUACAGGCUUUGGUCACGCAUGGAUCACACAUGGUUCAGGUGUGGCUCAUUCAUGUCUGUGGUGUUGGUUAGGCAUGGCUCACAUGUGUUUUUGUCAUUGGUGGCACCUUUUUCAAGCAUGGCAGGCAAUUUGUGCCAGUGGCUGACACGUGCUUCAAGUGAGGCUGACCUGUGGUUCAAGUGUGACUGGCACUUGGUUCAGGCCUGUCUGGCACGUGACUUGGCAUGGGUGAGCCUUCACACAGGUGUGGCUGACACGUGACUCAGGCAUUCAUCGCCCAGUAUCCAUGUGUGACGGAAAUGUGAUCAUGCAGGUGUCACAAGCCGUACACUGGUGGCACCCACGUGACAACAGGUUGCUGAAACGUGGCUCCCACAUACUCAGUCAUGGCUGCCACUUGGCUAA
ensembl:lncRNA